UACGUAGGGUGCAAGCGUUGUCCGGAAUUAUUGGGCGUAAAGAGCUCGUAGGCGGUUUGUCGCGUCUGCUGUGAAAACCGGAGGCUCAACCUCCGGCCUGCAGUGGGUACGGGCAGACUAGAGUGCGGUAGGGGAGAUUGGAAUUCCUGGUGUAGCGGUGGAAUGCGCAGAUAUCAGGAGGAACACCGAUGGCGAAGGCAGGUCUCUGGGCUGACACUGACGCUCAUGCACGAAAGCGUGGGGAGCAAACAGG
rnacentral:rRNA from 1 species